AGGCAGGCGAGGGAGCACUCUCCCCUGAGUGCUCUCUGCCCAGCUCCCUCGCGCACCGCACUGAUGCCGGAGCCGGAAUAUGACGUCAUAUUCCGGCUCUGGCUUUAGAAAGCAGUGCGCGAGGGAGCUGGGCAGAGAGCACUCAGGGGAGAGUGCUCCCUCGCGCGC
rnacentral:miRNA from 1 species